CCUCUGCCUUUCCCUCUCCCUCCCUCCCUCCUCCUCCCUCCCUCGCUGCUCCCUCCCUCUCUCUCUGCUGCAUUUUGCAUGAGCUAUCUAGGUCAUUAGCAUUUUAGCGUAUGCAAGACUUGACAAAGCUGAUGAGAAGCCAGAUGGGCCCCUCUCCUCUUUUUUUUGCACCACUUGGGAUCUGAGCGAAAGGAUUGACUGCAGCAGGCGAACGGGGGAAGGUUUAUUGCGCUCCUCCAGACCCCCCCCGUUUAUAGCAGCGCGGCGGGGCUCGGGGCAGGCGGCAGAGAGCGGGCAGCGGCGGGCAGAGACGGAGGGCAGCUCCACGCACGGACCCUCACCUACGGAGUGGUGCCCUUGGGAACACUGACAGCGGCUCGGGGUCCCUGGGACACCUCUUUGCUCCCCACUUCCCCCCCCCGCGGGGUGCUGCAGGUAUUUCGGGACAGCCCUCCCUGGGCUCUCCUCCCAGUCGGGUGCGGAUGCCGCAAGGAGCCCGUCGGGUCGUGCCGUGCCAAUAAAGCUCUUUCCUCGCGGGU